GGCGGAGGGUCCAAUUCCCCAGCAAGGUGUGACCAAGUAGGGACCACUCCGCCAGGGAACCCCUGCUGGUCGAACUUGAGACUAGGUUUGCAGCCCUGACAAUCACACGGAAGGGAGCGCUACCUUGAGUCCUCCCUUGUCCUGUGAAGAGGAUGCCAGGAAGGUGACCUGUGGUUCCCCAAACCACCCCUCAGCCUUGCGGAGUGGGGGCUUCAGCACUAGGCCGGCCGGGGAGGAGGGCUCCGAGGUGGGAGGAGCUCCGAACACCCAGGCGUCU
rnacentral:lncRNA from 1 species